rnacentral:rRNA from 1 species
AACGAACGCUGGCGGCAGGCCUAACACAUGCAAGUCGAACGCUGUAGCAAUACAGAGUGGCAGACGGGUGAGUAACGAGUGGGAACAUGCCCUUCGGUUAGGAAUAACUGCGGGAAACUUGAGCUAAUACCGGAUACGCCCUUAGGGGGAAAGAUUUAUUGCCGAAGGAUUGGCCCGCGUCCGAUUAGCUAGUGGGUGAGGUAAUGGCUCACCAAGGCGACGAUCGGUAGCUGGUCUGAGAGGAUGAUCAGCCACACUGGGACUGAGACACGGCCCAGACUCCUACGGGAGGCAGCAGCGGGGAAUAUUGGACAAUGGGCGCAAGCCUGAUCCAGCCAUGCCGCGUGAGUGAUGAAGGCCCUAGGGUUGUAAAGCUCUUUCGCCAGGGACGAUAAUGACGGUACCUGGAUAAGAAGCCCCGGCUAACUUCGUGCCAGCCGCCGCGGUAAGAC